rnacentral:lncRNA from 1 species
GGCUUGUGGCACUUCUUCCCAGCUCCUGGUUUUGGUGAUUUCACAGUGGUAGCUCGAAACUGGCCGUGCUGGAAAUAGUUACGCCGGGGGAACCGGCAAACGGAAAUCAUGCGUCCCACUCCCACUCCUCCUUGGAUAGCAGUGGUACCUGCACCUCCUAAAUAAACUACUUGCCCUGAAGCCCUUACUUCAGAGUCUGCUUCUGGAGAACCCAAGAUGAAGCAUCAGGGAAGCAAGGAGGGCCCCCCUCCC